AAAAAAAAAAAUCUUUUGAGUUGGUGGAUAAGUACCUCACCAACUCCCUCCUGAUGCUUAUCAACUCAACCCAUUGAAAACUAAUUAGCCUUCUCUCUCUAUCCAUCCUUAAUUUAGCUCGUGGGCAAGGUGGAGAGCUCGAGCUCGGGUGGAGUUGCCGUGGAGCUCGGAUCGACGUCGACGUCGCGCCGCGGAGCCGUCCGAGCAUACGUGCGUCGCCGUAGUUUAGCGAGGAGGCCGGGCGAGGGAGUGUUUUCGUCGUUCUCGACGCCGUGCCGGAAUUGGAGUCGCUGGUUGAGGAUCUUGUCGUCGACUGUUAGUAUUUCUGCUCGUACGCGACGUAGGAGCAUUGGAUUUCGACGAGAUUUGGUUCGUUGGAACCGGGACUUCGAGACGAAGAUUCUGAGCCCAAGAUCGCAAUUUUUGGAGCAGGUUCCAGCGUCGACGUUUCGUAUUCUGGCCCGUUCUCUGCGUAGGAGCGUCGGAAUUCAGCGAAACCUGGGCCAUUGGAUUCGUGACUUCGAGACGAAGCUUCAGGACCCUUGUUUGCUGAAUUUGGAUAAGGUUAGCUUGGUCGGAUUUAACGCUUUCUUCGCUGCCAGGAGUUGCUUGAGAGGUGGGUUACAUCGGUUUUUACUCCUAAGUUCAUAUUCGUCGGCAUGUAUAAUUUUCGACCUUUGGAUACUCUAUUCUAGCUCGAAUUCAUGGAUUAUAUUGUAGAUUGCAAAUCUGAAUUUGGAGCAUGUGGUAAUAAAUUAAGUAGGUUAUACA